rnacentral:lncRNA from 1 species
UUUAUUUCUUGGGGGUGAGACUGGAAAAGGGGAGAUAUGUUUCAUUUUAAGCCUGUUUGAAAUUUUUUACCAUGGGCACUUACUGCUUUUGUAAACAAGGAAUUCUUUCAUGUUUAAAACAUGGUGGUGAGCAGUUGCUGAGCCGCGCAGGGCAGGACUCCUCCUCUCGCUCCAGCUGCUUGUUAGCAUCGAGUCUCCGGGUAAUUUUGACAGCGCCAAGCAAGCCCCAGAGCUGAGUGCCAACACGUCACUCUACAGAGUGCCCUGUGCUGGUCAUUAGAGCCCUGCUCCUGUUCUGUGGCUAUAAUCCUAGCACUUUGGGAGGCCGAGGCAGGUGGAUCACCUGAGAUCAAGAGUUCGAGACCAGCCUGGCCAACAUGGUAAAACCCUGUUUCUACUAAAAAUACAAAAAUUAGCUGGGCGUGGUGGUGGGCACCUGUAAUCCCAACUACUCGGGAGGCUGAGGCAGGAGAAUCACUUGAACCCAAGAGGCAGUGGUUGCAGUGAGCCGAGAUCAUACCAUCGCACUCCAGCCUGGGCAACAGAGCAAAAACUCCGUCUCAAAAAAAAAAAAAAAAAAAGACAAAACAGAACAAACAGAAGCAGCCCUUUCUGGGUAGCAAGGGCCGCGGUGGUGGCAGUGGCUGGUGGCUGGUGGCUGGCAGCUUGAUUUCCUACCUCAAGCUCCCUGAUGCCUGCUGGAAGGGUUCUCCAGACAGCCCGACUGCAGCUGGAGCCACAGGUACCAGGCCUGAAGACCAAGCAAUAAAUCAUUAGCAGAUUGGCCCACGGAUCACUUCCCUUUUGGGGCGCUGCCUGGCACUUCCCAAGAGGAAGAAAUUUAUCAGCACUUGGCUGGCUGCCCUGUGCUCGCACAGUCGCGGGCUCCCAGUAGGUCACACCGAGUGGCCCCUCCUCCUCAGACACAGGGCUGUGCCUGGGGAGGCCCAAGAAAGCCAAAGAAUAGGCCACGGGCUCAGAAGACAGGGUGAGAAACACUUAGUCAGCAUAAUCCCUGCCAAUCACACCAGGGCUUCCGGUAAUACCAAGAGGGGAGCGGGUGAGAAGGUGGAUUCUGAAUCUGACCACGUAACUCUGCACUGCCACGAAGGCCCCAGCUCAUGCCCCGCGCUCAGCAGAGAGUGGGCUUGGGCCUCAUCUUCCUGUAACCGGGGGCUGGGGACCACUUUGAUCUCACUGUUCCCCUUGCUGCUGUUCACACCAGUACGGCGCCUUCAAGAAGUUAUCCCAGGGCAAUUUUCCACCUUUGAAGUCCCCGGAAAACCCUGCCAAAAGCCGUUCUGGUGUGAGGAUGCUGCAGGGGCAGGCAGCCUGGUGCCGCGGCCUCCCGGGUGCCAGAACUGGAACAUCGAGACAUCAAAGGCGAAGGUGGCAGCAGGGCGAUGAGUAAGCUCCGCUGCAGGCUUGGCCUCGGCCCCAGAAGCCUUCUCCUCAUCUCCCAGUGGUGGCUGAGCAGGACUAGGGAGACGACCCAGAGAGCCUGGAGACCUGGCUUGGGGGAAGCCCUGUGGAUGCUUCUGGAGGCGGACACUUCCCUGCUGCUCUGUGCCUGGUAAAGGCACCGACCACUGCAGAGCAGAAGCAGAGUCCAAUCCUGGCUCCAAAGCGCCCCUGACUGCAAAGCUUUGGUACUGUUAUUACCACCGUGAAACAGGUGGGGAAACUGAAGCAUGAGGAGCUUGAGUAAUGUGUGUUAGAUCACGCAACCAGUAGUGGCAGAGCUGGAAUUCCGACCUGGGACUGCCUCCAAAGUUCUUGCGUAAGAAUACAGCUGCUACACUUGCCCUUCUUCAGCUGAGACCAAGGAGGGAAUUCUGAUUGAAAGCAAACCAGGGAGGAAAGAUGCACUAGCACUGACCUGUAACAGGUCAAUCUGUGCCAUGGCAUGGCGAGACGAAGUGGAGAACCCAUGUCUCAUUGGAAUCCCGGAUCAUCGUCUCCACGAAGGCUGUCUUCUGCAGCACUCCAGGGACUCACGGCUCUGGGCUUAUUGCUCAGUGUCAUGUGACAGUAAGUUUUGGCGAAGGCCGUUUGUAAGGUGAUUUUAGUGGCUGGCUUUGAGUGGCUUCCCUCCAGAUUCACAAAGGUUGGGCCACUGUUCCAGAGAACCUGAAAUCAGAACCUGAUUUCAGAACCUGAGAACCUCAGAACCUGAGCCACAUCAGCUUUUGCCAACAAACUCCAUGGUUUUGUUGUUGUUGUUGCUGCUGCUGCUUUGUUUGCUUGUUCUGUUGCUGUGUAAUGAAUCUUCUUGCCAUUGGCUCUUUCUCUGCCUUUAUUCUAGGUUUGUACCAGGCACAUCUCCAGAAUUGUUGUCCUUUAGAAAAACAUCUUGGUUCCAAUGAGAAAACAAAUAAAGAAAGCUAGAGUCUUAAAAAGCGAAUUCGGAAAUCAAUCUAUCGACCAGAUCAUUAUCGGGGGCGGGGGGGCCGAAGGGGUCGGGGAGGGCCAUGGUGGUGAAUAGAGAACAACUUUUCAUAGCUCUCCUUUACAGGAAAAUCCAGUAUGGUUUAUCUCUUCCCAAAAUAUUCAUGAUGGUCAUGAAGUAACCCCUGAGCCUGGAAUUGAGUUAAGUUUGGUAUUCACAAAGCUGUGUAACUUUGAACAGGUUGCUUCCCUUCUCUGAGCCUCCGUUCCCCUAUCUGGAAAUCUUGUUAGAUCAUUUCUUUUUUUUUUUUUUUUUUUUUCAGACGGAGUCUUGCUCUGUAGCCCAGGCUAGAGUGCAGUGGCACAUCUCGGCUCACUGCAAGCUCCACCUCCUGGGUUCACGCCAUUCUCCUGCCUCAGCCUCCCAAGUAGCUGGGACUACAGGCACCCACCACCACGCCUGGCUAAUUUUUUGUGUUUUUUAGUAGAGACGGGGUUUCACUGUGUUAGCCAGGAUGGUCUCGAACUCCUGACCUCGUGAUCCGCCCGCCUCGGCCUCCCAAAGUGCUGGGAUUACAGGCGUGAGCCACCGUGCCCGGCCCUUGUUAGAUAGUUUCUAAGAUCAUUAUAGUUCUAACAUUCUGUGAAUUUAGUGCCUGGCAUACACUAAGUGGAAGGAGAGAGAAAGAAAGGAAGGGAGAGGUGAAGGGAGGGAGAAAUCAAUCUGUGAAAGCUGUCUUUCAUAGAGACAAGAAUGAGUGUCUUUUCUGCCUCCAAGGACACUGCCUCUAUCUCCUCAGCACAUGCUGAGUUGAACUGUUGAUAAUGUAAUAAGCUCUGCCUCAUUCUCCCUUGAAAUACCACUUUUUAGCCUGUGUUGUCACAGAAGAAAAUGAGUCAAUUAGAGAAUUCAAGCAAGAGUGCUCUUUAAAAAGGACAUGUAGAUAGUUAAUUGCAGUCAAUUAGACCUGUUGUCUUGGUGGCUGGGUCUCCAGAUAGGAGAAGAAUGGGAAACGCCCAAAGGUUACUCAUCUCUGGCAAGGAAACGCUGAGCUGUGCCAUUUGACAGUGGCAUCCAGGAAGUGUUGGAGCAUCCAACCCUGUCUCCAGGGAGGCUGGCCUCUUCAUCCCUGAUCUCAUCUGCAGGACUUUUUCCCCACUAAGAGGAGCAAAGUUCAAGCACUUUCUCCUUGCCACUGGAGAGAUGAGACACAAAUCAUAGUUAAAAGAAUGGCAUGGCAGGGCUGUGGGACAGCAGGACACACUGUUCUCAGGGAAAUGGUUAUUGGGCAUUUUGCAGAAUGUUUUGAGGAAGCAACUGCUCCUAAGAAUACUGUUAUGUUUGAGCAAUUUCAGACAAAUCUUGGAAAGUUUCUUCACAUGGUGAUAUCAGUUAGGCCCUAUCAACCUCUUCAAAUGAAGCCAAAAUUACCUCUUCUAACCCAACUCCAUAGCUGGUAGAAAUCUAGUGCUACCCCAGAUUCCUGCCAACCUCCAUGUCAUGGAGAUUGGCAACCAAAUUUAUAUGUUGAAGUCCCAGCCCCCAGUACCUUGGAAUGUGCCCUUAUUUGGAAAUAGGUUGCUGUAGACUUAAUUAGCUAAAGUACAGCCACAUCCAAGUAGGGUGAACCCCUAAUCCAAUAUAACUGCCAUCCUUAUUAGAAAAAGAAAUUUGGAGAUUGCCCCACCCCUCGAACCCACACAAACACGGAGAAUGCCAUGGGAAGAUGAAGGCAGAGAUUGGGAUGGUGCUUCUACAGGCCAAGGAAUGUGAAGGACUGCCAGCAGCCCCCAGAAGCUAGGCAGGAAGCAUAGAACAGUUCCUUCCUCAGAACCCUCAGAAGGAACCAACCCUACCAACACCUUGAUCUCAGACUUCCAGUCUCCAGAACUGUAAGACCAUAAAUCGUGUUGCUGAAGCCACUGUCUUACAGUUUGUGGUAUUUCGUUACGGGAGCCCUAGCGAAUGAAUACACUCUGCCCCUACUGAGGAGAUGGUGUUAUGGGAGCUUUGGUCCUCCAGGACCCGCCUCCAGAGCUCUGCCUUUUUCUAUACCUGCUCAACCCAGAAGUGAAACUGCGCUCCUCUUUGCCUGACCCACCACUGGGCACUCAUAUGAAGCUUAUGUGAACUUACUAAAGGUUUGAGAAGGAUGCAAGUCAAGGCCAGUCCUGAAGUGCACACUCUCCAUAAUCCCUGAAGACUCAGACUCUCCUCCUUUACCCUCUCUGUUCCCAAAGCUCCUGGAAGCUCAAAUUCCUUCUGAGCUUUCUCCAUUUUUUUUUUUUUUUUUUUUUUUUUUUUUUUUUUUACAGAGCAGUUUCCCACAUCCUCUGAGAAUUUGCCACCUGCUGCCACCCAGACCCUGAGGAAAGACCCCUUCCUCCAAAGCUCUUUUCAACAUAUUUCUCCAGGCAAAGCUAUUUUCUUCCUCACUGGCACAAAACAUUUUUAAAAAUUAAAUCAUUGUCACUGAUUAAAACAAAAAGAUACUGACUGUAUUAAUUUUCUAUUGCUGCAUAACAACUUACUACCUAUUUAGUAGUUUAAAACACACAUGCAUUUUCUCACUGUUUCUGUAGGUCAGGAAUCCAGGCACCACUUAGUCGGGUUUUCUGUUUAAGAUCUUCUCAAGGCUGCAGUCAAGGUGUUGACAGGGCUGUGUUCUCAUCUGGAGGUUUGACAGGGAAGAGUUCACUUCCAAACUAGCUUGGGCUGUUGGCAGAAUUCAUUUCCUUGUGGUUGGAAGAGGCAAGCCCUCAGCAUCUUGUUGGCUGUGGGCUAGAGGGUGCUCUCAGCUCCCAGAGGCAGCUUCUCCUUGCCAUAUAGGCUUUCCAACAUGGCUGUUCACCUCCUUAAGCCAACAAAGAGAGUCUCUAGAGUGAGUCAGUUAACAAGACAGAAACUUUCACAAUGUAAGGUAAUCAUAGGAGUUACAUUUCAUCACCUUUGUCAUAUUUUCUUGGUUAGAAACCAGAGGUCCCACCCACACUUAAAGGGAGAGAAUUACACAAAGGUGUGAGAGUUAAGGAUCAUGGGAAGCCAUUUUAAAAUUUGUCUGCAUAUGACAAUGCAGCAGGUACAAUUGGCUCCCCGGCAGCCAGCCCACCCCCUAGCUCCAGGGGAAAGCCUGAUUGGUCCAAAGGUAACCAUGCUCUUUUCCAUGAUUGGUUUGGGAAUGAGCAUGUGACCCAUCUCCAGCCUAUGAUGUGAGAAGUGUACUGAGUAACUUCUUAGUUUCCUUGCUCCUAAGACGGAACUAGGAAAAAUGAUGGUUUCUUUUCUUCCUCAGGAUGUUUUAGUGUUUAGUUGGAACCCUGGAUCUGCAGCAACCAUCUUGCUACCAACUUGAGGGUGAAGCCAGCCGUAAGAAUAGCAGGCCGGAAAGAUGGAAGAAACCUGGCUUUCCAAUGUCAUCAUUUGGUUGCUGAAUCAAUUGUACCUAAAGCUCACUCUAUCUGUUUUACCUUGAGUUAGGGUUGCCGUUGCUUGCAGCUAAACGCAUCUUCUUUUUUUUUUUUUUUUUUUUUUUUUUUGAGAAGGAGUCUUACUCUAUCACCCAGGUUGGAGUGCAGUGGCGCGAUCUCAACUCACUGCAACCUCCACCUCCCAGGUUCAAGUGAUUCUUGUGCCUCAGCCUCCCACGUAGCUAGGAUUACAGGCGUGAGCCACCACGCCCGGCUUAUUUUUGUAUUUUUGGUAGAGAAGGGGUUUCGCCAUGUUGCCCAGGCUGGUCUUUAACUUCUGGACCUUAGGUGAUCCACCCGCCUCAGCCUCCCAAAGUGCUGGAAUUACUGGCAAGAUCCACCACACCCAGUCUAAAUGCAUCUGAAUAUAACAUGACUCUCCUAGAGAAAAACCUGGAACCCAGAGCACCUGAAUAGAAACUCUUAAUUAUAUCAAUGAGGAAUAGUUAACUUAGCCAAGUUUCCAUUGAAUAUGAAGAACUGUAAAAUAAUGUCAGUUCUAGCCAAGAACUGAAAAGUAAUGUCAGUACUCUAUAAUGUGUAAUUCAUAGUUGCUACAUGUAAUCAGGCUUGGCCAAUUGUUUCCAGGAAGAUGGCACCCUCAUUUCUGAAUGAGGAUGACCAUUUUCCACUAAUCCAGAGGUAAAACAGUCAUUGUAACUGCACUGAAAUUUGCUGUAUCAAGUGAGACAUGAAGGUAAAUGUCAUUGGCCCAGAGUAAUUAGUCUUUUCCAGUGCUUAAAGGAAGGGAGAGAAACUAAUGCCUAUUGAGUGCCUUCAAAGCUUCUGCAAUGUGCUGGUACCCACAUGUUUCCAAUUAUUCCUCACAACACUAUGGAGAGGUUAUUUUGCCUGUUUUGCUGAUCAGGGAACUGAGACUCACAGAGUGACACCAACCCAUCAGUAUUUCAGGUUUCUGGGGAGGGUCCAGAGAGCAAGGGGGAAGCUGCUAAUUGCUUGUUGGUUCAAGAGAAAUGUUAUCUCAGUAGACUAACGUAUGGACUUUCUGAUGUCAGAAAAUGCAAACUAUGUAGUGUAACCUGUUUGCCAUUUUUUCUUUGUAUCCGCAAACUGACAGCAAAAUAUAUUGCACAAGUAUUAUAAAUCUGUUCAGUUCAAGUGCCAGAGAACAUUUACUCUGCUUCCUUCAUGAGGUAAUUCAAAACUUUGUUUUUAAUAUUUAUUGAGUGUCUGGGUAGGUAAACUGCUAUGCCGUCCUAUGGGGAAUUUCAGAUGUGUUGUCUGUGUGUGUGUGUGUGUGUAUGUGUGUGUGUGUGUGGUGUUUUCUGGUUUUGAUUGUUGACGUUUUCUUGAUUUUUUUUGACAGGAGCAUCUUUAGAUAUUUAUUUAUUUUAUAAUUCAUACAUACAUAUAGUAAAAAGUUCAGAUAGUUUUAAAAUAUAGUGAUGUGUAAAUCUCCCCUCACUUGUGAGCCCCAGGCAUUCAGCUCCCCUCCCUAGACGCAAUUAUUGUAGUCAGUUCAAAGCUUGUUUGUGCACAUACAAGUCUCUGUGUAUAUCCUCUACACACACCCAGAAGAGCAUACUAUACAUGCUCUAGACUGUGUUAUGUUUCUUUGAAUGGCUACGAUGUAAUUUAUUAAUCCAGUUCCCUAAUAAUAGGCAUUUAGGUACUUUUCAUGUUUUUCUCAAUGUGUAAUUGUACCAUUAAAAUUCUUGGGUUUUUUUUUGGUUUUUUGGUUUUUUAUUAAGAGUCUCGCUCUGUUGCCCAGGCUGGAGUGCAGUGGCGUGAUGUCAGCUCACUGCAACCUCCGCCUCCCAUGUUCAAACAAUUCUCGUGCCUCAGGCUUCCGAGUAGCUGGGAUUACAGUCGCCCACCACCAUGCCUGGUUAAUUUUUUUGUAUUUUUUAGUAGAGACAGGGUUUCACCAUGUUGGCCAGGCUGGUCUCAAACUCCUGACCUCGAGUGAUCCGCCUCUCUUGGCUUCCCAAAGUGUUGGGAUUACAGGCAUUAGCCACAGCGAAAAUCCUUGUAUUCAUGCCUUUGCCCAUGUUUGCAAGUAUAACUGGGAGAUAAAAUGCUAGAAUUGCAGGGUCCAAAAAAAAGCACAUUUUAAUUUUAACAACUAUAACCCAGUUGCCUUCCAAAGAGGCUGUACACAUGUUUCCCUGUCUCAAACAGUGGUGAGCAUGCCUGCUCCCCUACAAACUCACCAGCUCAGAGCAUUAUCAGGCUUCUCAUCUCUGCCAACCUGGUAAGUACAAAGGGCAUCUCUUGUAGUUUCGGUUGCAUUUUUCUCAUUAUGAGAUUGAGCAGCAGACAAUGUCUUUAAAAGACUUAUUUUGCUCUGGGUUUUAAUCUUAAAAUACUCUAAAUCCUCUUAGAAGUAGGUAGGGUCAGAUCUUCAAUCUGGAUGGAUUUACGUAAUGGGUCUAUGAAAGGGAUAGAAAGUCAAAGCAAGGGGGUGAGGCGGGGGAAUGAUGCGAAGUCAAAGCCCUCCCCCUCGGGGGCCCCUAGCCCAUCCCUGAUCCCUCACCCUUUGCAGGGCAUGUCCAGAGCUGCCACUGCCCUGGGCCUCCACCCCACAGCCCAGGACCACACCUUAACCUGGAAAGUCGUGGACCUCCUCAGGGGAGCUCAGGGAUCAGAUGGGCCGAUGGGUGUUACUGUGGCCAGGAGCACUGGGUCUUGAGUAUGUGGGUGGAACUUUCCCUCAUCCCCUGACCACGUCUAACCACAUGGCCUCUCCACUUUGAUAGUGGCGAGAAGAGUAGCCUCUUGCUUUUGCAUGUUUUCCUAAUCACAGCGUGCUUUCUUGUCUGCUAUUUCAUUUGACUUUUUUCAACCAGCCGCUGAGGUGGGGAUUAUUAGCACGCCCUUUGCAGAUGAGGAAACUGAAGCCCAGGGAGCUUUGGCAACCUGCCCAAGGUCACACAGCCAGUGAAGGAAAGGGCUGAAAUCAAACCAGGCCUGUCUGACUGCAAGGCAGGGUCUUACGGCUGCCUCCGGUGGGUAGGUCCGGGACCCAGCUGGUUUCCGUCCUGUGGCUCAGGUGCGAGGAGAGCCUCCCUGGGCCACCUGGGGAAGUCUGACUGACGUGCCAGAUCCUCACAGAACAAAGGUAAGGCCUCAGCCUUCCCCCUGGCCCAGGUCUUUCCAUGUCCAGUGCAUUCCUGAAUGCUCCCAGUACUCUGGAAAAUGGGGAUUCAUGCUGCCAUUUUAAUUGGAACCCAAUCUGUUCUGACUUCAAAUCUAGUGCUCCUUCUCCAUCCACCCACCCUCCCUGAACCAUGCCCAGGAGAUCGAGAGAUUUUCCUAAUAAACAAGUCAUGUGCUACAAUGCAUGUGCUACACAACCACUGCCCGCUUUGUCUCUCCCCCUAGGAGAGAAGGGGACUCCUGAGAGGCCCCAGCAGCGUUAUCUGGGCAGAGAAAGUGAGUUUGAAGACCUCACACUCCAUCUGGACUUUAUCAGCUCCUUUCCUGGGUAGGAUUACAGUAAACGAUUAUCUACAGAUCUGGAGCCAGCAAGGACUUUGAAGGCCCCAAUUGCCAAGGGGGUGGUGAAAUGGGGGAAGGGCUGGAGACGCAGGAGAUGAAAAAGCAGUGCAGGCAUCUUAUCUUCCUCCUGAAAUCAAACAGGCUGGGCCUGGGCAGGGUGGGAGAGGUACCCUGUCUGUGAGGCUGACAGUCUCUAGCCCUGGCUGGCCACAAAAGAUACAGAGAGAACCAGAUGAAGGCCCUUCACUGUCUUCUCCUGAUCCUCUCUCCCUCCUCCUGGUUUCUUUUAUUAAUUCAUUCAUUCACUUGCAUCUUUCAGCCUGUUAGUUACAAUAUCUGACACGCUCUGAGCUCUCCCGCCAAGCCAAGUGCUUAGCAUCCAUCCCCUCAUGUGGUCUUCACCAUGACCUUCUGGGAGAGGUGCCAGAAUUAGGCCCAUUUUACAGAUGAGGAAAAUGAAGCCCCAGAGGCUAAGUAAUAGGAUGAGCCUGGGAUCACACAGCUAGUAAAUGGUAGGGUCUGGAUUCUCUUAAACCUGCAUACAUUUAUUCUUCCAUUUCCCCCUGCCUGCCUGCUUUCCUCUCAUAAUUCAUUUAUGUAUUCAGUUUUUCAUAUUCCCAUUGCUUGUUCAUUUUGAAGUUCCUUCCCUUCUUGCUUAUGCAUUUCUUCUGUCCCUUCCUGUCUUCCUCCUGUCUCUUCCUUCCUUCCAUGACCACAUCCUGAGCCUACUGUGUGCCCUGUCACCCUGCCAUCAGGACAUGGGGCUCCUGACAGAUGACUGCUGGGGAGGGAUAUGUGAGACCACCUCCUCCAGGGUCGACCUCCUCAAAUGAGGCUUUUGGGCUGUGCCUCCCUAUGCCUGAUUUGUCCCAGUGUUUGCCAAAAAUUUUAGGCUUUGAUAAUCUUGUGAAGAUGUUUCAGCCAAGCAAGUCUUGAGACUCCAUUGGUGUGGGAGUAAAAGUGGCCUGGGGAAGCCACUUCUUGCAGUUUCCCCUAAGCAAGGCUCUUUCUGUCCUUGCUGUUCUGACAUCCACUCCCUCAGCAAACAUCAUUAAGGACCUAUCAUGGGCAGCCCCUGGGGCCCACUCCCAUCCUCUAGCUGUCUCGAUUUCAUACCUCCCUAGCUCUAGAAAAUUCACUCCUAGAAGGCAGGGAAUUGGCGUCAAGGAACGGGUUCACAGCCUUGGACUCCUUUAUUCAUUCAUCUUUUUUCCUAGCACCUAACACAGGGCCUGGCUUAGACUGAAGGCUAAUAAAUACAGGAUCAAAAGGCAGUGAACCAUCAUUCUCUGUCACUCUCCAGGAGCUGGCCCACUCACCGUGCUAGACAUUGUACUGGAUAUAGUAGUCCCGCAUCGUUGUAUCACUCUCAUUUCUAGCUGGAGAAGUACCCCUCCUUUUCUAGGUGCGGUUAUGGGGUCGCUAUCACCUGAAGUGCCCGCCACUCACCCUGUAGUCUUGGGUGGGUAUGUGAUCUCAGCUAAAACAGUCGAGGUCUCUCUCCCUGGGCUUGGAAUUGUAAACCAAGUGAUGCAGAGAAAGAAAAAACACAAGCCCUUGGAGCCCAUCACAUCCCAUCACCGAUGAGGCUGUCCAGCGGUUCUGGCCCUCAGAAGCCCCAGAGAACUCCAGUUUCUGUCCUUUUCCGAGUGUGGCUUUCUGUCCACUUUAUGGCUGCUCAACCUCCCUCCAGUAUGCCCCUUCUCCCCUUAGUCAGUGAAUGUCUGUUUCUGUGCUUGCAAAUGAUAAAUCCUAAAUGAUGCCCCAGGACAUGGUUUCCAAGGCCAGCUAUUGGAGCCUCACCAGAAAUGUUCAUUCUGCCUCAUCAGUGUCUUGGCUAUUGCCUUUUUGGAACUGCUCUGACCUCUCCUCUUUCCAUCCUGCAGCACCCCCUCUCUCAGCACCAGGGAGCUCCUCCAGGAGCACUUCCUCCCAUGUCUGUGUUCGCCGUUAAGACUGGACACACCAGGAUGAUCUUUCAACUUUGGGUCCAAAGGCCCUCAGUGGAUGUAAAAUAGGUACAUGAGGCCUUGAACUGAACAUUUUUUUCACUUCACCAUAACCUGGAUUUUCCCAGUUUAGGAGCAUCUGUUUGUCUUGAUAACGUUUGGAACAAAGUGAAAAAAACUGGACUUUGAAGAGAACUUCAGGUGAAUUACACAUUUAAGUCAGAUUUUCCAUGUCUUUGUCCCAUGUUCAGUAAUUCAAGCUGUUAGGAGCCCUCAACUUUGUACAUAUAUUUCCUUCCUAUCUCUGCCUCUUCAUACCUGGUACUUACCGUGGAAUUUGAAAUCUUUCUGUGGCUGUAAGCAAGAAAGGCGGGAAAAAUACAAGAAGUUAAAGGGGAUUGGAUGGUUCAGAUUUGGUUGAUGAAUGAGAUGGUUUAGAGGCAUGUCUUGUAAGAGAUAAUUUUCUAUGUGCCAGGUACUAUUUAUGAAUCCCACAUUAUCUUAUUAAUGCUCACAACAAGCCUUGGGGGUAAAUAGAUUAUCAUCGCCAUUUCACAGAUUAGGAAAGUGAGGUUUCAGCAGUCAAUUGCUCAAAGGUCUCCUGCUAGUGAAACAGUCGUCUAUCCAAACAGUCUGAAUGACCUGUGCACAUGGGAACGUGCCACGCAAGCCAAGGGCAGGAAGGAUGAGAAGAGGUGGGCAGAAAGCCAGCUGGGAUGAAUGAAGGACCUACUACGUGCAGGCCCAGGGUCAGACAUUUUAUUUUCUUGAUUGCACUUCAGCCUCCCAGCAGCCCUGUUUUACAGAUGAAGAAACUGAGGCUCAAAGAGCUGGAGAAAGUUGUUGCCCAGGGUCCUGUGGAGAGAAAACUCAAGCUCCGGCUGUUCCACUACUCUGGGACACCACCCCCAGUGGGAACCCCACUUUUACAAGGAUUCGAAGGUAGGUGAGGACUUAUCUCCUGAAAUAAUUAGUAUACUUACUUUUUUGUUACAUAUUCCCACUAAAGGUUUGCAGCCCCACCCAGCUUGAAUAUCAGGAGAAUGGCAACAAAAUCUGGUUCAAGGCUCACAGAAUCCACGAAAGAUGCCAGCCCCUCCACGGUUGGAGAGUGAUUCACAAAUGUGUCUUUAAGGACUUUCCCAGGCCGGGCACAGUGGCUCACACCUGUAAUCCCAGCAAGCCGAGGCGGGAGGAUCACCUGAGGUCAGGAGUUUGAGACCAGCCUGGCCAACAUGAUGAAACUCCGUCUCUACUAAGAAUACAAAAAUUAGGCAGGCGUGGUGGCAUGCACCUGUAAUUCCAACCACUUGGGAGGCUGAGGCAGGAGAACUGCUUGAACCGGGGAGGCAGAGGUUGCAGUGAGCCAAAAUCACACCGCUGCACUCCAGCCUGGGCAACAGAGUGAGACUGUGUCUCAACAACAACAACAACAACAACAAACAGAAAAAAAAGAAAAAAAAAGGACUUCCCCAUCUCAGAGCAGAAGACAAACCCAGGUGACUCUGAGUCUGCACAGAAAAGGCAAGGGUGACCAAGAGUGAGGAGGUUAAGCACCUGUUGCUUUCAGCUCAGGUCCUGACCACAGCCCUUAAUAAGGACAAACCUCUCAGAUUGCUGCAGCCUUCAAUACGCAUGUUCCUAUAGUGCCUGGCCAAUAAGAAGUACUUACACAGUAGCUGUUAUUAUUGUAAAGGCGGCGCAAAGAGUUAAGGAAGGCCGGUAGCUAAGCUGAAUCUGAGUUGCAUCUUGUAGGCCAUGGUAUGUGAAAGAAGGGCAGGCCAGGAGGGGGAACAGAGUGAGUAAAGCCCAGAGGCAGGGGCAUGGAAAAGCAGGGAGGAGUUAAGCUUGGGGCAAAUAUCCUAAAUGAAGGGGAAUAAAAGGCAACAAAGUUUGCAAGUUGCACCGGGGCCACAUCUUGGAGUUGUUUGAGAACAUGUCCCAUGAGGCUGCAUUUAACACCAGCCACUCGCGCUUCCACCCCAACAGCAGGAGUAUCACAUCCACAUGCCAUGUGCGCAAUUCCUUACUUUAUAUCCUCCUCUAAGAUAAAUCUACCCUCCCUCUUUUUUAAGCAUAAGAGCAUUUAUUCUAAAAGGAAACUUUUGGCCAGGCAUGGUGGCUCACGCCUGUAAUCCCAGCACUUUGGGAGGCCUAGGCUGGUGGAUCAUGAGGUCAGGAGUUCGAGACCAGCCUGACCAACAUGGCAAAACCCCGUCUCUACUAAAAAUACAAAAAUUAGCCGGGUGUGGUGGCACGUGCCUGUAGUCCCACCUACUCGGGAGGCUGAGGCAGAAGAAUUGCUUGAACCCGGGAGGCAGAGGUUGCAGUGAGCUGAGAUCACACCACUGCAGUCCAGCCUGGGCAACAAAGCAAGACUCUGUCUCAAAAAAUAAAUAAAUAAAUAAAUAAAAGGAAACUUUUGCUCACUAAUGGAAAUGGAAGUGGCACCUGUCAUAGGCAGAGACAAAUUGUCAAAGUAAACAACUUUUAAGUCUCACUAGACACUCCUGCCCCAGCAGAAUCUGGUCAAAAGCUAGGUCAGCAAAUUUCAGAGGCAGUAUUAAGGACAAAGUAGCAACAAUCCAAACUUUCUUUUUAGGUACUCAGAAAGACUAACAGAACAUUGAGAAGGGGUGUUAGUCACAUCCCCAAACUGCAAGAGGCCAGAAGAUAGCGAGGGGUCUUUCAAACAAUCUAAAAUCUGAGACCCCAAUGUUGGAAAAGAGAAGGAAGGGAAUGGGUUAAAGUGCCAGUUGCUCCCUCCUCAGAUAGCAGGGCCCUGGACAUCCCUAAGAUGUCCCCUUCCUCUUUCAUCCUUCCCUGAUUCCAGCCUCCCCACCUUCCCCAGGCUGGCUUGCCUGAUUUUGUGAGCUCUUCAGCCGGCUUAAAGUGUAAUUCUGUAUUUCUGAUUCUAUCUGUGUUCCAGGAGGCAUUAUCUCUAUCUCUGUAAUAGCUUCUCAAGCAAAAACAUUUUACUGGGUAAAAGAGCAAGGAAUAGGCAUGACCUGAUGCUGAUUUAAAGCAAGAUUCCAGGCAAGCCCCAGAGCCCUCUCUAAGUAGCCUCUCUCCUUUCUGCUGUCUAACGAAACAGCUCCUAAUGGCCAUGGUAUCAUAUUGUAUCUCAUAUUUACACAGCACUCGGCACACAUUCACUUAUUCAGCGGACAUCCAUUGAGGGCCUAUUAUGUGCCAAGUCUUCUGGGUGCUGGCAAUCAACAGUGAACAAAGACCCGUGAGGUUCUUGCUCUACUUGGGAAAACAGGCAAUAAACUCUGAAACAAGUAAAUAAACACGAUCAUGAUGAGGCUACUGAAAAAGCAAUGUGGUAGCAGCGUGACGAUGAUGUGCCAUGGGAGACAGGUGGCAACAUCAAAAAAGGUAGACUGCCCCCGCCCUCCGAAGAGGUGGCAUGUGAGCAAGAAGGAGCCAGCCAAUGGAAAGCUCUGAAAGCAGAGUCUUUUAAAAACAAAACAAAAUCAAAAAACAAAAACAGGGCUCAAAGAAGAUGUCUGCACUUCUGCCAGACGGGGCAGAAAGAAGAUAAUGGUGCUCCAAUCAGGGAGACUGUGGAGGCAGUACAGGUGACAGGAGGCAGGGAAACGAGAAUUAGCCAGAAACACAGUAGGUUUGCCAUGUCAGUCAGACACUCGAGUGUGUUCUUGCUCUUCUCAACAAACCAUAAAGUAAGGACGAUCAGUGUUUCCCAUUUUACAGACAGGAAAACUGAAGCUCGGGAAGGCUACCCAGGUACAUAGGGGCAGUGGUGGGAUGUGAAUCUAUGGUUUAGGAUGCUGACGCCAGCACUAUCCCACCUGCCUCAUGGUAGAGCAGUGUCCAGACACAGAGGUGGCAAUGCAGCAGCUCAAGUGGCAGCUCCAGCACUGCAUGUGUUUUGUCCGUUCUACAUGGGUUUGGAAAAACUCACCUGAGCUAGCGAUCAACUCUUAAAUAUAACCCUUCACUCAAAAAUCUGGCUGUCUAUCUGAAAAUAUUUGAAGACCUGGUCAUAGUGGGACCAUGAUUUGAAUGACAACAAUGGGCUGGAGCAGUAUCUCUGCCCACCUUGAGAGAGGGAUGGGCACUCUGUUUUUCCACAGCCCCCACCUCUCCCGAUUGCUUGCCCCGGCCCCUUCACUCCUCUCCAUUGCAUUCAUGGCCUCCCUAUGCAUUCGGCUUUGAGGCCCCAGCUCUCUAGUGAUGAAAUAUGUGGGAAGAUCCACAAAGCCCAGCAAACGAGGAGUGACCAGAGGAAUUGAGUUACAGUUCCUCCCUAGAACACUUUCCUGCCUUUCUGAUGUAAUCACUUUGCGCAAACAGUAGGAAAUGUUCAGAAGAGCUGCUACAAGGCGGUGAUUAAGAGGUCAGGCCUGGUUCUUAAUUCUAGCUUCAGCAAGUCCUAUCUGUGGGACUUGGGCAAGUUCUAAAAACCUCAGUUUCUUUAUCUGUAAAGCGCAAAUAAUAAUAAUGCCUACUUUAUAAGUAGGAUUAGGGGAAACAGUAAUUUAGGAAACGUGCUCGGAAUGAUGCUAGUUUCGUGGUGAGUAUCCAAUAGAUGGAGCCGUAGUUGUCUUUCUCAUCUUAGAAAGCAGCUGAUUCUCCCAUGUCAUGACAGUGUUUGUGCAACUCCUCUGGAAUUCUCUCCUUUCUUCCUUAGGAGAGCAUUUUCUCAAUGUUCCUCUUUAUCUUUCUCCAAACACAAAGACAAAUCUAAGAGGAAAAAAAAAAUCUUCAAACUGGGUCGCAGAUACUCAGCUUCUUGUCAAUUCUCAUUAGGGUUUAAAAGCUCAGUCUCCUGCAUAUGCCCAAAGAUAAAGCAAUCCCUUCCAUUCCUAAUUCAAAGAACCAAAAAAAAAAAAAAAACAUGUGGUUGGACCUGGUUGAAUAUAUAAACUUUUGGGGAUGGCAAUAAACUAGGCAAAGUCCUGGUUAUUCAAUUUAUUAGCUCAGUUGUGCAACGUAGAAAUAAACAGAAAAUUACUUAUAAUUUUACAAUAAUAUUCAUUUAGAAACAUCACUUUUCUCCAUAUACGUGUUGCAUGAAACAGCUUUACUCCAUUCUUUGCCACACAUAAGGAGGCCGAGGAGGGAAGAUGGCAUGAGGCCAGGAAUUCAAGGCUGCAGUGAGAUAUGAUUGCACCACUACACUUCAGCCUGGGCGACAGGGUGACACCUCAUCUCUAAAAAAUAAAAUAAAAUAAUAAAAAAAUUUUGGAAAUUUUUAAAGCGUCUGCUCCACAGAGCCACAUUUUGCAUUGUGCAGUUUCGUUUUUCAGACCUUUCUCCUCUCUUCCAUCUGACUGCCCUGAGAUCCAGCACUUUUUGCUUCCACAUCUGAGGCUGUCGCUGGAAACAAGGUCUCCAUCCCAUUUGCAUGACAUGAGCACAGUCGGGAUUUGUAUUCAUUCUGUGGGUGUGUGUAUAUUCGUGCUCUCCACAAAAGAACCACUCAGCAUUGCUUUUUCAAGCCGAGCUUUAAAAGGCUUAUUUGCCAUGACAUCCAGCACUUGUAAUUUGAGGUCAUACCCCGAGGAAGAAUUGCUAAAUCUGUGUAAAAUGUUUCUGACUCCUUUUCUUACAGAUUCUGUCAGAUUAUCUCUUUAAGAAUUCUAAGCCCAUGUUGUUUGAGGUGGUUUUAGGCUAAUGUACAUUCCCCAAACAUUUCUUUGCUGUUCAAAAUAAAGCAAUUGAGAGGGUUCUUCGUAAAAACGAAGCACUUUGCAAGAGCUCAAGACAAAAGACAACUCCCUUUUUUCUAGGGGGUAAUUUUGAGGAUAGAAGAAAAACAGUGUUCUAUGUAAGCCUGUACAAUCACGAGAGCCAUUUGCUGAGGGCCAUGUGUGCGAGUGGUUCGUGUGCUCUCCACCUCCUCUUCUUCCUCCCAGGGGAUGAAAUGAGGCCCAACAAGUGCAAGACAUGGACCAUGUCAGCUCGUGACAGAACAGGGCUGGAACCCAAGUCUGCUAGGCUCAGCCCACUCCCUCCCUGUGCCGAGUUGACAUAUUCUACUUACAUUAAGCCAAGUGCUGGGCUCUGAUUAUACAAAAUCAGAUAAGCCAGGACCCUGUGUUCAAGGAGCUCCCAGGCCUGCUGGGGUGAGAGUGGAGCAGCAAGGAUGGAAGUGCACAGAUGCAAGGGUGGCCAGGCCUAUGGGGAUACAGGCAAGGGAGGCUGAGUGUU